rnacentral:lncRNA from 1 species
GAGUAUAUUUUACUAAAUGCGAUCCACUUCAGAGCACUCUGCUAUCAAGAGUCACUCUGAAGGGAUAUGGAUAUAAGUAUCUCUCUGAUCUGAAAUCACCAUGGUGACUUGCAAACAACUCAUUAUGCUUUGGUGUCGGACUACCUGAAUUUCUAAUUCAGAAUCGGAAGGUUUUUGGGCACAGUCAAGUACUUGUGAAGUCAGUGCAUGAGUCAAGAU